rnacentral:rRNA from 1 species
UACGUAGGGUGCAAGCGUUGUCCGGAAUUAUUGGGCGUAAAGAGCUCGUAGGCGGUUUGUCGCGUCUGCUGUGAAAAACUCGGGGCUUAACCCCGGGCCUGCAGUGGGUACGGGCAGACUAGAGUGCGGUAGGGGAGAUUGGAAUUCCUGGUGUAGCGGUGAAAUGCGUAGAUAUGCGGAGGAACACCGAUGGCGAAGGCAAUCCCCCUGGGCCUGCACUGACGUCAUGCACGAAAAGCGUGGGGGAGCAAACAGG